UGGGGCGCUGCAGGCGCGAAACCUCUGCAAUAGGCGAAAGCCUGACAGGGUUACUCUGAGUGACUUUCGCUAAGAAAGUCUUUUGGCACCUCUAAAAAGGGUGCAGAAUAAGGGGUGGGCGAGUCUGGUGUCAGCCGCCGCGGUAAUACCAGCACCCCGAGUGGUCGGGACGAUUAUUGGGCCUAAAGCAUCCGUAGCCGGUUCUGCAAGUCCCCCGUUAAAUCCAGCUGCUCAACAGAUGGGCCGCGGAGGAUACUACAGAGCUAGGAGGCAGGAGAGGCAAGCGGUACUCAGUGGGUAGGGGUAAAAUCCGUUGAUCCAUUGAAGACCACCAGUGGCGAAGGCGGCUUGCCAGAAUGCGCUCGACGGUGAGGGAUGAAAGCUGGGGGAGCAAACCGGAUUAGAUACCCGGGUAGUCCCAGCCGUAAACGAUGCAGACUCGGUGAUGGGUUGGCUUCGCGCUAACCCAGUGCCGCAGGGAAGCCGUUAAGUCUGCCGCCUGGGUAGUACGAUCCCAAGACUGAAACUUAAAGGAA
rnacentral:rRNA from 1 species